rnacentral:lncRNA from 1 species
UUUAUUCUCAUCAUUUGGAAGAACGUCUGUGCUUGAACACUUAACUGUGCUUAAAGAAAUUGUCUCAAACUUUGAGGCCAUAGAGGUUUAGUAUGAUGAAGAAGAUUUAAUGUUAAUUCUACUUUGUUCGUUGCCUCUGUCUUAUUCAACCUUUAGAGAUACGAUUUUGUAUAGUCGUUGCAAAGCCUAAUUUUAGCCCGGGCCCAAAACCAAAUAAAUAAAACCCAAAAUAAAAAAUAAAUAGUCCAUAGUCCAAAAAAAGAAAAAACCAAACCCAAAAAAAUAAAUAAAUAGUCAAAGUCCAUUACAAAGAAAUCAAACCCAAAUGACCAGCCCAAAUCAGAUAGUCCAAAUAGAAAUUAAAACCCAAAC